CCUAAGUGGCUGAUCAGGCUUAUCCCGAUGUCAUACAACGACUACUCUUCAAGGAGCUCCCGCUGUGGAGGGAUCAGGAUGCUGAACAGCUUGUCAUAUUACUCUCGAUCUUCAGUCAGAACCAUAUCAUUCUUGUUCGGAGACAGAUUGGGAGUGGUUUAGGUCCAGCUAAAGCUCCAAAGGUGGUUGGCAGCUAUAUAAAAAAAUUUAUUCUUCCACCUAUAGAUGGAAAAAGGAAGUCCAGUGAUAAACUGACAUUUAGGCCC
rnacentral:lncRNA from 1 species